AGCGAACGCUGGCGGCAGGCCUAAUACAUGCAAGUCGAACGGCUCUUCGGAGCAGUGGCGGACGGGUGAGUAACGCGUGGGAACGUGCCCUUUGGUUCGGAACAACACAGGGAAACUUGUGCUAAUACCGGAUGUGCCCUUCGGGGGAAAGAUUUAUCGCCAUUGGAGCGGCCCGCGUUGGAUUAGGUAGUUGGUGGGGUAAAGGCCUACCAAGCCUACGAUCCACAGCUGGUCUGAGAGGAUGAUCAGCCACACUGGGACUGAGACACGGCCCAGACUCCUACGGGAGGCAGCAGUAGGGAAUCUUGCGCAAUGGGCGAAAGCCUGACGCAGCCAUGCCGCGUGAAUGAUGAAGGUCUUAGGAUUGUAAAAUUCUUUCACCGGGGAAGAUAAUGACGGUACCCGGAGAAGAAGCCCCGGCUAACUUCGUGCCAGCCGCCGCCGUAAUAC
rnacentral:rRNA from 1 species